GUCCGGGGCAGAUCGCCAAGCAAGCCCCUCCCCAGCGCUCGCGGGUUCCUGCCCGCGCGUCCCUUCCAGAGCCCGCUUGGCUCCAGUGCCCAGUUCCCCUCGGUUCCCAGUCGCGCCCGGCUUCCACCCUGCCCCCUCCCGCGGCCCCCAAUCUCCCCUCUCCUGCGCCCUGUUUGCCUCCGGCGUUUGCUUUCCGCUGCGCCCCGGCUCUACCCGCCGCCACCCAUCCCAUCUACCUCCAGUGCCCAGGUUUCCUGCAGAGCAGAGCUCACGCGCCCUUUAGCAGGAAGGGGACUUCGGUGUUCUCGAAACACCGGAGCGCCUUGGACGGUCUGUUCGCUGGGGGUGGAGGAGUCUGGCUGCAAGACUGUUUCUUGUAUUGGGCAGCCUAGGAGGGUGUGUGUAAAGCCCUUCCUCUGUCAAGAGGAGUCCCAGCCAGCUCGCGUCCUGCCAGCUCGGGGAUCGGAUCGGAGGCGGGUGUGAGCGGUUAGAAGAAACUUUCCAGCGAGCGCCUUGCUAAAGCAGAGCGCGCAUCUGUCAGGAACGCUCCCCGGGAGCUAUUCUUGCAAGAAGCUUCUGUCGUUCCAGGGCAGCAGAUGCAGAAAGCAAAGGAAGGUUUGUGCAGCUGACAGCUAAUGCUGAGGACCAGUUGGAAAAAUACACACUCCCAGGUCCCAGCUGAUGGAUGUGUGAGUAUGGUGCAACGGUGUGUGCCGGUAAUGUAAAGAGAGAGAGAGGCUUAAGGACAGGCAUGUUAGAGUAAAUGACACCGCCACGGAAGCUAGAACACGUUUAAUUACUUUUCAGACUUUUCAUGUUCAGUAAUAACACCUGGAUUUUGUGUUCUGUUACUCACGUGAUUGUAUGACUUGAGCUGGGUCAGUGCAAACAAAAAAGGUACAUUGGCUUUGGGUGACACAGUAGUGAACUGAGAUUUCAAAUUUCUUGGUCUGCUGCGUUGCCUUCUCCUUUGCCCAAGUUCCCAGAUUCUCAAAACUCUAGGAUUAAUUUUGGAGGGAUGAGAGAAGAAAACAUAUAUAAAUACUCAAAAAGAUUAAAAUCCAAUAGCAUGUAAAGUUAUAUCAAAGGCUGUUGGGUUGGCAACUGAAUGGGUUUAAAAUUAGUGAGUCAUUAGCUCUGCAGUGGUGUGACUAUAUGUGGGGAGGUACCUACAGGAAGGUGGCCCAUCAACACACAAUGUAGCCAAAGGUGUGCAAGCCCCUUGUCUAAUUCCACCACAGUACUGGUCCUCAACUCAGCCUUGAAAAUAAAAAGCUUUUAAUUGAAUCCUGAGAAAUAAAGAGCUUCUAAUUACCCACUUAAGGGUGCAUGAAAAUGUUACAUAAUGCUCACACAUCCUUCUAGCAUUGGAAUAAAAAGAAUAGUUUCUGAAAGGAACAAACUCAUAUUCUUACCUUGGAGAGAGCUCCCUAAGUCGAGAGCUAACAGCAAUGUGUAUUCAUAAGCCAUGGUGGUGGUUUAGUAGCUAAGUUGUGUCUGACUCUUGCAACCCCAUGGGCUGUAGCCCACCAGGCUCCUCUGCCUAUGGGAUUUUCCAGGCAAGAAUACUAGAGUGGGUUGCCAUUUCCUUCUCUAGGGGAUCUUCCCCAUCCAAGGACUGAAGAUGGGUCUCAGCUACUAGGGAAGCCCAACUUUUCUUUAUCCAAACAUGUAAAUUUGCUUUAGGCCCAAACUUGAUGAUCAGUGGGUGGAUGUGGGUGAAUUACUUGUUUCUGCAUCCCUGGCUUAGGAUUGUCAGCUUAGUUCUGCCAGUUGGGGAGCCUGAGAAGGGGAAAUGAGGGAAGGAGAGGGCUAGAAAGAGGGGGCUGGAGAUCUGUACCCUAAGUUCCGUGUAGGCGCCCAGAGAGCGCUAGUUACCCAAGUCUCUGCAAACCUGUGUCCCCUUCUGACUUUUUUCUGUUCUCACCGUCAAGGGUCAGUCUCAAAAUAGCCAAGGGGUUAGAGAAAGCAGAAUUUAAGGUGGCAGGAUUCUGAAUGCUGGGCCAUGCAGUGAAAUGUAGGGAAUGUGGGGAAGGCCACUUUCUAUCGGGCGCCAUCUUUCUGGCAAGUGGUGUUACCGGAAUAUUGUGUGCCAAUUUCAAGGGCCCCUGAAGGGCAAAGGGAUUGCAUUUCUGUGAGUGAUAAGGCCUGAACUUGGCUGCAGAGAUUCAGUGCAGAAGCCUGGAUGCCACUAGCAUUACCAUAUGUACCAAUACACACAUAUUGGUAUAUGUAUAUAUGUAUAUGUGUUAGUCCUUCAGUCGUGUCUGACUCUUUGCGACCCCAUGGAUUAUGUAACCUACCAGGCUCCUUUGUCCAUGGGAUUCUCCAGGCAAGAAUACUGGAGUGGGUUGCCAUUCCCUUCCAGGGGAUCUUCCUGACCCAGGGGAUCUUCCUGAGCCAGGGUCUCCUGUAUUGCAGGCAGAUUCUUUACCAUCUGAGCCACCAGGGAAGCUCACCAACACACCAGAAAUAUCAGGACAUGAGAUGUGAAUUGGUGAAAAACUCUCCUGAAUUUUUUCCCCUGCUUACUUAGAGACAAAUCAAGUUUCCUUGAAUUUCUGGAUAAUAAAUGCAUUAAAUCACAAAUAUCCAAAAUCAGAAAGUUAUUUUGAUAGGAAUUCCAGUGUAGGGCUGCAGGAAUAAAGGGAUUCCUGGGGUUCUUGAGGUUGUCCUUCAGUUGUACUGAUGGAAACAUUUGAAAGAGUUCGCUUUCUUUUAAAAUAAAAUAUUCUCGGAUUUCCUUUGAUCCCUACACUUCAUGACACUUUUUAAAAAAAAAUUUUGAGCUGACAUCUUUUUUUGGCCUUAGAUAAGGAUACAGGACUUCCCUCAUAGCUCAGUCAGUAAAGAAUCUGCCUGUAAUGCAGGAGACCUGGGUUCGAUUCCUGGGUCAGGAAGACCCCUGGAGAAGGAAAUGGCAACCCACUCCAGUAUUCUUGCCUGGAGAAUCUCAUGGACAGAGGAGCCCGGCAGGCUACAGUCCAUGGGGUUGCAAGAGUUGGACACAACUUAGUGACUAAAGAGAGAGAGAGAAGGAUAUAAGAUUAAGAAGAAAACCCAUCCACUUAUCCAGGUAUUACUGCUGCUGCUGCUGCUAAGUUGCUUCAAUCAUGUCCGGCUCUGUGCGACCCCAUAGACGGCAGCCCACCAGGCUCCCCCGUCCCUGGGGUUCUCCAGGCAAGAACACUAAAGUGGGUUGCCAUUUCCUUCUCCAGUGCAUGAAAGUGAAAAGUGAAAGAGAAGUCACUCAGUCGUGUCCGACUCUUAGCGACCCCAUGGACUGCAGCCUACAAGGCUCCUCCGUCCAUGGUAUUAGAUGUUGCAAAUUUAAAAUGAGGAACUCCUCCAUUUCCCCAUUCCCUACUCCCAACUGUUAAAACGAUUCAGUUCUUGAGAACCCACAGAUUUGAUGAUACUUUAGAAAGGAACAAAGCUGCAACACUAUAUGCUAAUCACCACAUUGAAAACGAGUGGGCUUCUUCCUCAGUAUUUCUUGCUCUCACCUCUCCCAUUCCCAUCCCACUGCCUGCCUCUCACUCCUGAGCUUGGUUUGGGUUCUUCUUGAUCUCCCCGCCUCCAGUCCUCCCCAGUCCAUUUAAUCUAGAGUGAAAGUGAAAAAGUCGCUCAGUCGUGUCCAGCUCUUUUCAACCCCAUGGACUGUACAGUCCAUGGAAUUCUCCAGGCCAGAAUACUGGAGUGGGUAGCCUUUCCCUUCUCCAGGGGAUCUUCCCAACCCAGGGAUCAAACCCAGGUCUCCUACAUUGCAGGCAGAUUCUUUACCAGCUGAGCCACAAGGGAAGCCCAAGAAUCCUGGAAUGGGUAGCUGAUCCCUUCUCCAGCGGAUCUUCCUGACCCAGGAGUUGGACCGGAGUCUCCUGCAUUGCAGGCAGAUUUUUCACCAACUGAGCUAGAUUAAGGAAAGCCCUUAAUCUAGCAUACCACAACCAAAUUAAUUUUUCUAAAGUGCUACUUUGACCAAGAUGCUUCUCUGUUCAGAGACCUCAGCUCCUCAACAUGGCCUUCAACGCCCUCCACAGUCCAGUUCCAAAGAGCCUUUCCAGCAGUUUCAUACUAGAACUCUCCGUGUCACCCUAGCUUGCAGUUCUGUAAGUUAGUUUUUGAAUUUAUACUCUUUUCUGUUUUUGUCAUCUGUACUCUUUCUCACUGGAAUCUUUCCACCAUGAAUCCCCUCCUCCAUCUCUGUCUUAUUGGAUUCAGCUUUCAAGAUCUGGCUGAUAUAUUUUUUACAUGACAGUCAUCCCUGCCCACUGUUGCUAGAAAUGAUCUCUCCUUCCUCUACUUUUAGUAGUUACUUUGCUAAUUGCAUUUCAAGUGUUAAUUAAAAGUAUGUUGCCUUUUGAUGUCUCUUAUAUUGUGAUUUAAUUUUUAUAACUUUAAAAUUUUUCUCUUUUCUUCUCAUAUGGAUUGUAAGCCCACUGAGAGUGAAAGCCAUCUUUAUAUUUUCCAUGUUUACUAAUAUUACUUAACAUUAAUUAGCAUUAAGCUUUGAUUCAUAGAGAUUUACUGUUUAAUUUAUUUAAAUAUUUUCAUAUUUACUAGUAUGAGAAAUAAGUGUUUUUGGAGUUAUGAUCCUUCCUCAUGCUUUGAGUUUAGAGUAGUAAUUCAUGCCCCUAUAGAUGGUUGGAUGGCAUCACUGACUCAAUGGAUAUGAUUUGAGCAAACUCCAGGAGAUAGUGAAGGACAGGGAAGCCUGGAGUGCUUUAGUCCAUGGGAUCGCAAAGAGUUGGACAUGACUUAGUGACUGAACAACAACAAAUACCCUAGUCGAUAUCUUCAUAUAAAUGUUUCAAAAAUAAGCUUUACGAAUAUAAGGUAGGCUAAUGAGAUAAGUUUAUAUCAUGUGCUGUGCUGUGCUUAGUCGCUCAGUCAUAUUCGACUAACUUUGGGACACCAUGGACUGCAGCUUGCUAGGCUUCUCUGUCCAUGGAGAUUCUCCAGGCAAGAAUACUGGAGUGGGUUGCCAUGCCUUCCUCCAGGGGAUCUUCCCAACCCAGGAAUCGAACCCAGGUCUCCCACAUUGCAGGCAGAUUCUUUACCAUCUGAGCCACCAGCGAAGCCCAAAUUUAUACCAUACUUAGUAAUAAAUAAAGUGGGGCGGACAUAGCUUAAGAGUUUUUCCAAAGGAAUCAUAGAAGUCCAUAUAGUAAAAACGCUACCUAAUCUUUAUAAACAUUCAUGGUAAAUUACCUUUUCCCUUCAUUUAUGACAUUCUGUAUCCAGGCAUUUCAAGCUAGUGACUUGAAUCUGGAUUCAAAUUCUAGUUCAGAUUAAAAGUCUGUAUAGCAGUGACUAACGAGUGUCCCACCCAACCAUGGUUAUAAGUCACAAGCUUGGUGAAGACUUUUCUGUGUUUUAGUUGACUUUGCUGGAAAAUGAGAUUAAAAUAAUAGUGAGUAGCCUAACUGGGCAGUUUCUGGAAGGUUGGCCAGAAAGUCUGGGGGCAAUUUCCAAGUAAAUACCCAAGAAGUGUAUCGAAUCAGUUAAGUUAGCAUAAUUUGCCUUGAGGAUGAUAAUAGGUGGUAGAAAUCAUUGAUCAGAGCUCUAGUGGCUGUUUCUGAGAAAAGAUAUACAAGUUUUCACAUAAAGCAAUGUUACUGCUGAAACAUUCUCUUAGCACUAAGCAAAGAACAGUCUGUGCCUGUGGCUGGCUUAAGGUCAUAUACUGAUUUUGAAGCCACAGUUUACACAGGGACAAGCAGUUGCAUCCACUGUGAUAAGAAGAAGCACAGAAGACAGUGGUAUAAUCACAGCAAAGCAGGGACUACUUGGAGAAUUCAGAAGUUCUCCUCUCUCCCACUUCCUGCCUCUUUGCCUCUUCCCCUCUUCCUGGUAUGUCUAAAGAGUACACUGAACAGUGCAAGGGCCAAUAAUAAUAUUUUUCAAAAUUUGGGUGUAUUGGAAAGUGUUCAGACCUGCUAGGCAGAAGAUCCAAUUUUGUGUCUGGUGUCACUUUUAAGUUUGACCUUCAGUACUGGCUUCAUCUUUAAUAUGAACUCACUGUUUGCUCCCUCACAGGGUUACAAAUGGAUGAAAUGAGAUGAUGUAUGUGAAAGCUUCUUGGAAUCUCAUACAGCACUGUAUAUUUGUAAUACAUCAAAUGAUGUCUCAUCCCAUCAUCAUGAUAUUUCAGAUGAUGAAAGGUGUCAGGAUUUGCUUGUAUGAGAAGACUCAAUUCACUUAUAUAAGCUUCUCUAUAUCAACUGACUCCUUUCUUUCUCCCACUAGAUAUUAAUACAACCCAGAGGCUUGGUUGGUUUGUGCCCAACUCUUUUCAACCCCAUGGACUGUAGCCCACCAGGCUCCUCUGUCCAUGGAAUUUCCCAGGCAAGAGUACUGGGGUGGGUUGCCGUAUCCUACUCCAGGGGAUCUUUCCAGCCCAGGGGAUUGGACCCGCAUCUUGCGUCUUCUGCAUUGCAGAUGGAUUCUUUACCACUGCGUCACCUGGGAAGCCCCAGAGGCUCAGUAACAGUAAGCAAUUUUUAAAUGCCUUUACCUUUGGGAAAUCACCUUUAAAAAAAAGUCUUCCCCCCAUUUUGGUGCCCUUUCUUAUUAGAUGCAUGCAUACAUGUAAGCUAAGUCACUUCUGUCGUGUCCAACUCUGUGUGACCCCAUGGACUGUUAGCCCACUAGGUUCCUCUGUUGGUAGGAUUCUCUAGGCAAGAAUACUGGGAUGGGUUGCCGUGUCCUCCUCCAGGGGAUCUUCCUGACCCAGGGAUUGAACCAGAGUCUCCUUCACUGGCAGGUGAGUUCUUCACCACCAGCACCACCUGGGAAGCCCCUCCUUAGUAGGUACACUACUCCUAAAAAAGUAUUUGUUUAUGUGAUUCUUUGACAUGAAUUCCUUUAAAGGAUUUCAGUGGUGAAAUAUUAGCAACAGUGAAAGAAUUUUUUUUCCUCAAGUAGUGCCAGUAAAUAGUAGCUUUUUUAAAAAGGAAGGUAAUUCAAUGUAAAGUUUCGCCAACUUUCAUAACUUCUGUUCUUAUUCAGCUGUAAGAUCUUACCUUGAAGUGCUGGCGGUGAUGAGAGUGUUAUCCGUAUACAUGAAAGCAUUUGGCUAAGAGCUGUACUUCAGUUUGCCCAAGUCUAGAGCUUGUAAUGAUAACAAGCUAUGCUAAUUGUUGAAAACUCUAGGUUUUAUUUUAACAGAGUCUUAUUGUGCUCCUGAUAAAAUGAUUAUGUUGUAAACGCUGAGAAAUCUGUAGCAACAAGAAUCCCCUAAGCCCUGAUUUUAAGUUUCUAAAGGGUAGAAAUGAUACCUUUUAAGCACGUUAACUCCCAUUUAUUUGGGUCAUGUGAUGAUAGCUGGUAUUUUGUAAAUUCCUGUGCAAUAAAGGAAACAGUUAAAGUUUAUGUGGUGGUCAAGCUCAGUCGUGUUAGACUCUUGGCGACCCCAUGGACUGUAACCCCCAGGAUCCCCUGUCCCUGGGAUGUUCCAGGCAAGAAUACUGCAGUAGGUUGCCACUUACUUCUCCAGGGGACCUUCCCCACCCAGGGAUUGAACCUGCAUCUCCUGUAUUGGCAGGCGGAUUCUUUACCACUGAACUUUUAGGGAAGCCCCAAAUACACCAGGCUUCCCUGGUGGCUCAGACGGUAAAGAAACCACCUGCAAUGCGAGAGACCUGGGUUGGAUCCCUGGGUUGGGAAGAUCCCCUGGAGGAGGGCAUGGCAACCCACUCCAGUAUUCUUGCCUGGAGAAUCCCCAUGGACAGAGGAGCCUAGCAAACUGCAGUCCAUGGGGUCGCAAAGAGUUGGACACGACUGAGCAACUAAGCACAGCACACAGCACACUCUCUAAAAUAAAAGAAGACAUUGUGUUUUCCGUUCACCCAAGGAAGAUGGAUCUGGGCCAUCCAACUGCAUGGAACUGCCAACGGGAACCAAUGAAAGAAACAGGUUGCCAUGCCUUUGGGUAGCAGACGAAAUCAUUUACCUUGCUUCCUUUUCACUCACUACUUUGAGUAGACCAAACAGGUAUCAUUUUCCAUACAUUUUUCCUCUUCUUUGUAUUGGAUAUAUAUUUUUGUAGGUAACUGACAUUAUUUACUUACUAUAUAAAUGCUUAUCCAGAUCCAUUCAAUAAAUAGAGGCAAGGCAAGUCCUUUGGCUUGGAAGGGUAGAGUUCCACACUAGCUGGACACUAUUGCUGCUACUUUAAAUUUUUUGAUUUAUUUAUGGCUGUGCUGGGUCUUUGUUGUUGGAUGCAGGCUUUCUCCAAUUGCAGCGAGUGAGGGGGGCUUCUCUUCGUUUGGUACAUGGGCUUCUCAUUGUGGGGGCUUCUCUUGUUGAGGAGCACAGGUUCUAGGCACAUGGGCUUUGUUGUCCUGUGGCAUGUGGGAUCAAUCCUUCCAGACCAGGGAUCGAACCUGUGUCCCCUGCACUGGCAGGCGGAUUCUUAACCACUGGACCACCAGGGAAGUCCCGCUACUUUAGUUUUGAUAACCACUGCGGUCAGGGUUUGAAAAUAAAUAUCAAACCUUCGACGUGACAUUUAUUUUCCACAAUGUCCCAUCUUUGCAGCUCCUUGAAUAAUACCUGUUAGAAAUCUUUAUCCCAUGAUAACUUUCUGUUUCUAGAGCUUUAUCCCUUAAUUAAAUGUUAAGGGGGCAAUGACCUUCUUUGUAGAUGUCUUCUAAAUAUAAAUUACUUUUCACACUGGUGAGAAAUGGUUGAGUUUUUCCCUUCCUGUUUUAAUAUGAAGACAUUGAAACAGAAGGAGAGGCAUGCUUAAGCUUUAAAGGAAAGGGAGUUUUUUAUUUUCCUGUCUCCUGAGCUAAUCUUUAAUUACCAGAGCCUUUAUCCUUCACAGAUUAUGACCCACCUAUUACUACUUGUCAGUGUAAUUAAAUUGCAUGAUCUAUUUGGGUGCCUGGAGCAAGUCAUAGAGUAGUUUUCUAAAUAAAUAAGAGAUUCCAUCAUGGUAUGUUUAUUUGUAUUUUUCACUCAGUUUAAAUAUAAUAGAUCUGAAAGAAUAGUCAUAUUUAUCCACACAAAUUAAAGUUGCUUUGUUGCAUUUCAAUGUGGAUUUGUGAAAGUGCCACAUGAAUACUAACUCUGAAGACAAAAACAAAAAACCGAAAAUCCAAAAAGCAAAGCAAAGCAAUUAAGUGAUUUGGUUUUUUGUUUUAAGUCUGUAACUAGUGAAAAAAAAAUUCACAGGAGACUCUUAUUGAGACUCAAAGGCCCCAGACUUGUGAUAACCUUGGGGAUUUUAUUGAAAAGUCAAAAUGAAGCUGUUUGGGAGCUUGGAACAGAAAAUUAAAAAGCAAGCUCUCCUUGUUGGGUCAUUUCCUCGCACUAAUACCUUUUCCAAACCAGGUAGCUAUGUCAUGGGCAUGUUGAAUAUUUAGGCUCUCGGAAAAGCCUGGAAAAUGCACCAAAAUGGUAUUGACAUUUUAGUCCUGAAAAUUUAUUUUUUUCUUAUUCUGGAAAUAUCUAAAGUGAUGAUUUUACUCCAACUUGUCACUGUUUCCAUCCCACUCCUUACCUUUCCUCCUUCUGCUGCCAGUCAACACUGUAGGCAUUUUGACAUCUCCCCCAUUACUAAUUAAUGGAGAUUAUGUACAUUUUCAUAGAUCUCUCCUGAGGAUAAUAAUCUUGGUUUAAAAAAUUCCCGCACAUGCAUACUGGUAUGUAUAGUUUUCAUAAGUUCUUACCUGGAGUUGACUUAGACUAGUAAUUUAUUAAGCAAGCUAAAAAUCCGCAUUUCACCUCACAGAAAAUAAUCAGUGUGUUAUAGCAUAACCAGUCUUGAUGGGAGAUUUUGAAACUAUCCCUGGCUUAUGCAUUUUUGUUUUGCAGCCUUUUUAUUACAUAAUUUCAAAUUGUGGCAUUUUAGCAAGAUGAGACUAAUUUUUGAAAUUAGUUGUGACGUUUACCUCUCUCUGUAUACCGUCAUGAUUAAGCAUGCAGCCUGUGGAAUCACACUGCCUGAGUUAAAAUUCAGGUUUUUGCCGGUUAGUAGCUGGAUAAAUUAUCUGAACAUCUUAGGCCUCUAUUUCGUCAUCUGUUAAGUGGGAAUAAUAAUAAUUGUACCUACCUCUAAGGUGUUUGGAGGGUUUGAUAAGACACACAAAGCCUUUGGUAUAGUGCUUGGCUCAUUGUUAAGUACUUAAUAAAUGUUACUUUUUCUUUUUUUUCCAUUCUCCCGCUCCCUCCUGCCCCCACUGCCACCAAUGAGAAAGAUCGUGGCAGAAAAAUCCUCAUUCUGCCCAAAACCAAGGGUGACAAAAGAGACGGCAUCUAGUCCAUGGAAAUUGAAUAACUGCAUUUUCCUUUUAAGUGAGAGGAUGCAGUAAAGAAUCUAAUUUGAGCACCUUAAUGAUCAGCCAAAGACUGGAUUUCAGGAUUGUCCAUUGAAACAAAUACAACCAUUGUAUAUGUGCUGUGCUUAGUAGCUUCAGUCGUGUCCAAUGCUUUUCGACCUCAUGAACUGCAGCCCUCCAGGCUUCUCUGUCUAUGGGGAUUCUCCAGGCAAGAAUACUAGAGUGGGUUGCCAUGCUCUCCUCCAGGGGUUCUUCCCAGCCCAGGGGUUGAACCCAGGUCUCCCACAUUGCUGGUGAAUUCUUUACCAUCUGAGCUACCAGGGAAACCCCAAAUUCAAUAAUUUAAUUCUAUGCAUUGCUCUCCCCACCCCCACUCAAAAUUGCAUCCCAUUUCUAAAAGUCAUGUGUGGACAGCUGAACAUCCUUUGGGCCUGAGCACUACUUAAAAGCAGGAAGAGGACUCUACUAAGCCAAUUCACCACAUUUAGAGACCAGCGACAUUUCUCUCAUAUGCCUAUUAUUUGGAGAAAUGAUUCAAGCUCAGGUAGCCGGUCAGCUGGUUCCCUACCAGUCACUGCAACCUCCUGUUGCACGCUCAUCAGCAGACCUGGCAUAAAGCGUCCCAGCUGGGGUCAUGUGGCUAGGAGAAGAAGGAAGACACAGCUACCCCAAAGAGACACCCCGUCCAGGUCUACAGGACAAGGAGGCAUUUUGUGACCAGUGGAAGACACAAAUGUCUCCCGUCUCCUUCUUUGUAUACGUGAUGGUGAAAACAGGAGAAAACGCACAGACCAGAAGACAUCCAGACAGUGGGCUGUUCUCACUGACGACGUUUGUGCCGCAUUCCUCCUCGCCCCUGGAGUGCAUUGCGACACUCAGACUGGUGGUUCUGGGAGCCAAGCAGCUGAUGGGGGAGCCUCAGGAGGCAGCAGAGACAAAUUAAUCUUCAGAUCCACCAUUUCCCCUGAAACACACCACUUGCUAAACUGAAUUUCAAGCCAAGAGCAGCAAUUUUCCACAGCCCAAGUCUGGAAAAGUCUGUGAAACCACAUUGGGUCCGAAAACCAAAGUUGGUUUUUGCUGUUUUUCGUGGAGCACCAGAGAGACAACUCCAGAAUUCCAGAUGUGAGGCAGCUGGAUGGACGUGUGUGUCCAGGCAUCUGCACAGCAGCUUCAGAAAGGCGACCACGGACAGCUGCGAAAAACCACCACUGACAACCUUCUUUCUCUUUUCUUACCUGAACCUCUGGACUUACUUGUCUGAAAAGAAAGAGGGAAGAAAAAAAAAAAGCUGGCACUCAUUGUUUUGUUUUCUCAAUUUUCUUGUCAACUGACUCAUGAUAAAAGAAUGUCCUUUUCAAUCAAUUUCAAUUCUGCAGAACAGAAAAAUAGAGAAUUUAUAGGCAACUAUUGGAAACAAAGGAACCAUCUGUUUUUUUAAGUAUAAUUUUUCUCUGCAAUAGUCCUCUCCAAACACUUGGAUCAUUUAUUUUCCCUCACCGCACCACUUUUAGUGAACCAGAGAACCCCAUUGUCCAACCCAGGCUCUUGGUCUCCUGCUCUGCUGCUGGAUCCCUUGUGUUCCCCAGAACUGGUCUUAUCGCUCCUAGCUUCUCUCCCAUGACUCCUGUUUCCAGCCCAGCCUCUCCCUCCUUUGGCUCCCCUGAAAUCUUCCUGUCGCACUCACUUUAUUUUGUCUCAGAGUUUUAGUCCCCCUUUCCAG
ensembl:lncRNA